rnacentral:rRNA from 1 species
CCUACGGGUGGCAGCAGUGGGGAAUAUUGGACAAUGGGCGAAAGCCUGAUCCAGCCAUGCCGCGUGUGUGAAGAAGGCCUUCGGGUUGUAAAGCACUUUCAGUGGGGAAGAAAGCCUUGGGGCUAAUACCCUCGAGGAAGGACAUCACCCACAGAAGAAGCACCGGCUAACUCCGUGCCAGCAGCCGCGGUAAUACGGAGGGUGCGAGCGUUAAUCGGAAUUACUGGGCGUAAAGCGCGCGUAGGCGGUCUGAUAAGCCGGUUGUGAAAGCCCCGGGCUCAACCUGGGAACGGCAUCCGGAACUGUCAGGCUAGAGUGCAGGAGAGGAAGGUAGAAUUCCCGGUGUAGCGGUGAAAUGCGUAGAGAUCGGGAGGAAUACCAGUGGCGAAGGCGCCCUUCUGGACUGACACUGACGCUGAGGUGCGAAAGCGUGGGUAGCAAACAGGAUUAGAUACCCCAGUAGUC